rnacentral:rRNA from 1 species
UACGAAGGGGGCUAGCGUUGUUCGGAAUUACUGGGCGUAAAGCGUAUGCAGGCGGACUUUUAAGUCGGGGGUGAAAUCCCGAGGCUCAACCUCGGAACUGCCUUCGAUACUGGAAGUCUUGAGUCCGGUAGGGGAGCGUGGAAUUCCUGGUGUGGCGGUGAAAUGCGCAGAUAUCAGGAGGAACACCAGCGGCGAAGGCGGCGCUCUGGGCCGGUACUGACGCUGAGGAGCGAAAGCGUGGGGAGCAAACAGG